AACCUCCGCAAUGUGAGAAAUCGCGACGGGGGGAUCCCAAGUGCCAUUCUUAACGGGAUGGCUUUUCAUUAGUGUAAAGAGCUUUUGGAAUAAGAGCUGGGCAAGACCGGUGCCAGCCGCCGCGGUAACACCGGCAGCUCUAGUGGUAACAAUUUUUAUUGGGCCUAAAGCGUCCGUAGCCGGUUUAAUAAGUCUCUGGUGAAAUCCUGUAGCUUAACUGUGGGAAUUGCUGGAGAUACUAUUAGACUUGAGACCGGGAGAGGUUAGAGGUACUCCCAGGGUAGAGGUGAAAUUCUGUAAUCCUGGGAGGACCGCCUGUUGCGAAGGCGUCUAACUGGAACGGUUCUGACGGUGAGGGACGAAAGUUAGGGCGCGAACCGGAUUAGAUACCCGGGUAGUCCUAACUGUAAACGAUGCGGACUUGGUGUUGGGGUGGCUUUGAGCUGCUCCAGUGCCGAAGGGAAGCUGUUAAGUCCGCCGCCUGGGAAGUACGGUCGCAAGACUGAAACUUAAAGGAAUU
rnacentral:rRNA from 1 species